GCCAGGUGUGGUGGCUCAUGCCUGUAAUCCCAGCAGCUCAGGAGGCUGAGGCAGGAGGACUGCAAAUUCAAGGCCAGCCUCAG
rnacentral:sRNA from 1 species